AUAUAUUUUUUAAAGUAUAAAAACCAAAACGAUAAAAUUAACUAGGUACAAUUAGCCCGAGUUGGUAACUUCAGCACCGAGAUGCUGAGCUAAUUGUGAAUGCAAAGGUUUCCGCUUAAUGCUACAAAGGUUUCCACUCUUCUUGCUGAGCUGCAUACUGGCAGUGUCCCAUCAGAUACAUUCACCCAACCAAAGAUGUCAAAUUCAAUUCAGAUAUCAUAUCACCAAGAAGACAAAAGUGUCGACUUAAAUGUUCUACAAUAGACGUCUUUUAUUAUCAAGUAGCAGUUCAGGACACAAACCAGCACUAUAAUUAUUGGCCCCCUCCCUUUGCCAAGCGUUGCAUCAUUAAACAUCGAAUAAGUACAUAAAAUAGAUGUAGCAUGCGACUUCCCAUUAACAUCCAUGCUGAAAUAAAUGCUGCUGCCGGCAGACAACCGUCCCCCAUGAAGUUCGAAUGUCAGCUUUUGGUAAUACACCAUGAGAAGCCGAAAGAGAAUAGAGGCGGCUUUCGUGGAAGAGAAGGAUGAUAGACUGCCUGAUAGGAACAGUAGCUGUGUUGUCUAUAGCCAUGAGAAGCUCUGAGUGACACUCACUUUUGGUAAAUCUGGUGAACACCGAAAUAGAUACCACGAAAUAAAUUGCAGUGUUUCAACUUCCACCAGAUUCCAGAGAGAGACACUAGUAAGAAAUAAGUUGUACUAUGGUUGAAGAACCAAAACAAAUCAGGGAAGCGCUGCAAAAUUUACUGAUGAGCAUCUCUUCUAAGGCAGAACUCACAAGUAGUGUGAAUCCAUUUUCUUUUCUUGACAUCGUCCUUUCAGUAAAUAUUGGCCCAUAGCUAUAACAAACAC
rnacentral:lncRNA from 1 species